rnacentral:rRNA from 1 species
AAGAUGGCGACCGGCGCACGGGUGAGUAACACGUAUCCAACCUGCCGAUAACUCGGGGAUAGCCUUUCGAAAGAAAGAUUAAUAUCCGAUGGUAUAUUAAGAUCGCAUGAUUUUACUAUUAAAGAAUUUCGGUUAUCGAUGGGGAUGCGUUCCAUUAGUUUGUUGGCGGGGUAACGGCCCACCAAGACUACGAUGGAUAGGGGUUCUGAGAGGAAGGUCCCCCACAUUGGUACUGAGACACGGACCAA